rnacentral:rRNA from 1 species
CCUACGGGUGGCAGCAGUGGGGAAUAUUGCACAAUGGGGGAAACCCUGAUGCAGCGACGCCGCGUGAGUGAAGAAGUAACUCGGUAUGUAAAGCUCCAUCAGCAGGGAAGAAAAUGACGGUACGUGAGUAAGAAGCCCCGGCUAACUACGUGCCAGCAGCCGCGGCAAUACGUAGGGGGCAAGCGUUAUCCGGAUUUACUGGGUGUAAAGGGGGCGUAGACGGAAGUGCAAGUCUGGAGUGAAAGGUGGGGGCUCAACCCCCGGACUGCUGUGGAAACUGUCAGGCUUGAGUGCAGGAGAGGUAAGUGGAAUUCGUGGUGUAGCGGUGAAAUGCGUAGAUAUUACGAAGAACACCAGUGGCGAAGGCAGCUUACUGGACUGUAACUGACGUUGAGGCUCGAAAGCGUGGGGAGCAAACAGGAUUAGAUACCCCUGUAGUC